rnacentral:lncRNA from 1 species
UUGAACUUCUUUCUAAAACUUUUCUCGAGUUUGGGUUUGUUCUUGAUCAACAAUAUGUUCUCACAAGUGGGAUUCCCUGAUGGUCAAACAGAGAAACAAAAGGCUCACCUGGACCAUGGAUGCUGACUAAGUCUCUGUGAUUUCAGAAUUGAGGCAGGUGGGAGUGACCUAUAUAGAAUUAUUCAGCACAGAGAGAAUCUGAUAAUCAUCCAGCCUCUGCAUAAAAUACGUUGUAUGAAAUCACCUGCACCGGACAAAAAGUAAAUAUUUUUCCUGGAAAUCACCAUGAGGGUCAUUGCACAAUUUGGAACCUGGCAAGAGUAUCUACAGGAAGAAAUACCUCUGCAAAUCUGCCUUAGAAACAAGUGUCUGGAUCCUUUUGGAGGAGAGCUUCGGUGCCAGAUUUAAGACAAAACUGGAAGUUUAAAUCCAAGUCUUCCUUGUUUCAGGGCCUUAUAAAAUUACUGGUUAUAAUAUUUCAGUCUAUGGCUGGGAACACCUUAAGGGUCCCACAAAGAUGCUACAUUGGAGAUCUAAAUUACUCCUGUGAAGUGAUAUAAAAACAAUAACAAGCAUGUAUGCAGCACUUUAAAAAUGAGGAGGACCAGGUACAUCAAUUGAUACAAUUUUUUUUAGAUACUUGAAAUUCAAAAAAAGAUUAGGUAUUUGUACUUGAUACUUCAUGAUUUUUCUUCUAUGUCUUUGUUAUCAAUAAAAAGACUUUUCAAAUAACA